AUGUCCACGAACACUUGGCGCCUAGUCACGGAGGAUGACGGAGUCGGCGAUCUCCAUGAGCGGCGCAAGGGUCUCGGGCGCGAACUUGCGCGCGAACAUGUGGGAGUAGGUCCCGUUGGACUUCCUGAGCUCCCUGAUGAGGUCCCCGGAGACCUCCUCCGGCUGGUAGGUGUGCGGGUGGCCGCCGACGGCGUCGGUCCAGUUGACCCUGGUGAGCGUGUACUUGGUGCAGCCGUCGGGGUCCUGCAUGUCGAGCAGCGUCGGGAAGUAGUGCUCCUCCGGGUAGCACGAGUCCUUCUCCUUGACGAGGCACGGCGCCUUGAACUUGUUCCAGAGCCGCCUGUCCCUGACCACCAUGACGGCGUGCCUCCUGGCGAGCACGAAGAACUGGGAGCCGACGCGGAAGCGGUCGAAGGGCACCUCCGGGAGCAUCACGUUGUCGCCGCGCGCGUAGUAGCGGGCGUGCAGCGUGGGCUCGCUGUCCAGGAUCUCGAUGAAGCUGCGGUGGCGGCGGUGGCGGCCGGCAUUGUUGUCGGUGAGGAGGGUGCGGUAGAGGGCGGGGAACGGGAGGAGCGGGACGCAGGACUGGGAGAGCAGCGCGAAGAAUUGGUUGGCCGGGUCGUCGAGCAGCGCGGUGGCGAGGAGGCGGCGCGCGGCGGAGAUGAGCGUGGCGGAGGCGCGCGCCGUGGCCUUGCCCCGGAUGAUGCGGCCGCGGAAGGAGGGGGUCGGCGGCAGCGUGAGGUUGGCGGCGGGGUCGGCGUGGACGUAGAGGUUGAGGAGGCCGUGGUGCCCCGCGAAGAACUUCUCCCAGAGCGGCGCGAAGACGAGGUCGGAGUUGGUGAGGAAGAGGAAGGCCACCUUGGGCCGCGCCUGCGGGCGGCGGCCGAAGACGCCGAAGGAGGAGGGCCGCGAGGUCCUCCGUCUCGUCGGCGUCCGGGAUGGCCGGGAGCGUCUUGGGCAUCAGCAGGCGCGGCGCCAGGUAGUACACCGCCGGCAUGGACAGCAGCAGCAGGAACGACAGCACGUACGGCGACGCGUACGCCAUGCCCGGCAGCGGCGCUCCGGCGAAAACGCGCGCUGGAGAAACCGAAAAGGAAAUCCCGGAUCUUGGCGCCGGGGAAGAAGGCCAAGACGAGGAUCACAGGGAGAUCCUGCUGCUCAGGACGGGCCGGACGGAUCUCGCGGGCAAGGACGAGCACCCCCCGGGCAUGGAUCGAGCAGGGAGGAAAGAUUUCACCAGCCGAGAGCGCUCGCGCACCUGGAGGAUCAAACGGCAGGCGGGCGGGAAGGACAGAGGCGAGCUCCGGUUCCGUGGCGCCAAAUCUGCUGCUGGUGGUGCUCGGAUCGGAUCUCGCGGUUCUGGCGGGACUGGGCUGCUCUUGA
rnacentral:rRNA from 1 species